rnacentral:lncRNA from 1 species
UGCUAAUGCCGCCGCCGCCGCCGUUUUGGCCGCGGCCAGGAGCUAGUGCGCCCCGCGCCCAGCGUGGGGGCGCUUAGCGCUGCUGUCCGCACCGCAUCCCGCCCAGCUGUCCCUGGGGUGCCUGGUGCUCGCCACCUGGCUUGGAGAUACCCUCGGGCGUGAAGCUGCCAACCUGCAAAGCGGAGAAAAGACUGUCAGCUAAAGGCUGCUGAGCCUGGGCUGUCGUCUCUGUGUCCAGGGGGCCAGCACUGGGUGACCCCAAUGGUCCCAAGUGGGGCACGGCACGAGCGAGGAGCCAAGCCUGGAGGAGGGGACAGCUGCGGGCUUGGUCUCCAGUCCGGAAACAAUGAGCUGCAGGCGGUCGGCAGAGACUCUCCCUCAUUGUCUGCCGCGGACCUGCCCCCACCCCGCCCCUUUGCCUUUAACAGUCUGCCUUUUUUAAUAAUUAUCAACCUGGCAGCUCUGAUUCAGAGGAGUGUCUUUAUUCGAGUGAACUAAUUGCAACCUUUUCGUACUCCUACUCCAUUACUCAAAAUAGAAAAUGCCCAAAAGAACAAAGGAAAGUUUUUUUCUUUCCUUGCAAACACACAAUGCAUUUCCAGUCUCAAUUUUUAAAAAGAGGGAGAGUUACGUGUGUCGAAAUGUGUGUGCACACUUGUGCGCUGGAACGCGUGCGCGACUAGAAGCGAUCCGACUGCUCCCCCAGAGACACGUACUCAAAGCCAAAGGCAGCAGAAAAAGGUCAGCGUGCUUGCCUCUUUAUUCCAACACUAAAAAUAACCGCCCCCUCCCGCACCCCCCACCUCCUCCACCAAGAACGAUUCAAUUACAAACACCAGGGGCAUUCAAGGCUUUGGCCCACGAUAAAUAUGACUUUGGAAAGACUCAGAAAUGCCUCCAUCAGCCCUAAUCUUUAGAUGGGUGGAAAGACAUGGAUUCACACCACAGGCUUCCACUGACCCCAUGGCUAUUUCACUCAAGAUGUAUGCUUGCCUAGUGACUCUUUGGGACAACAGGGGGUCCCUGCCUUUCCUGGUGUAUUUAGAGUGGGAGCAAAUGACUGUAAAGCUUUGUGAUUCUCAGGUUUGCUUCUGCUUCUUCUAAGUCAGUCUAGCUUAUACAUGCAUGGCUUCUUUUCCAAUCUUCACACGAGGGGUAGCCUUUGGAAAGCAGAAGGGGGCCUGUUCUCUCCCUUCCCUUCGUUACGAGGGUUCCUGUCCGAAGUUUCUCACACACGGGGAGAAGAACUGAGUUUGGGUCCUGAAUGGUUUUUGAUCAUAAAAUAUAAUAACAUAAUUGCCAGUACUAAAACCUAAUUAGGGACUGGUUCUUUAAGGGGGGAGGGGGGGAUUGCAUCAUUAAAGCGAACUGUCAAUAGAACUUGCCUUACACCAUUACUUAGAUGUGAAUUUCAAGCUGGGUUGAACAGGAGAGGGACAGACCUGGCCCUGGAGUGGGAUGAAUGCAGGCAGUCACACCCGACCUGUGGCUUGGGGACCCCACCAAUGCCAAAAGAGCCUAAUGAGCAACCCUGUCCAUUUCAGCACCACAAGUCCCGAGCUCUGAAAACCCAGUCCCAUGAACAAUUAGAUGUUUGGUCACCCUAGAAAGGAGCCAACUGGUUGGGCAGCCAUGAGGACAAAGUUAUACCUCAUUGGUUAGGACCUUCUAAAAAUUUCCAGCUCCCUUAAUAAAACUAAAUCACAUACUUGAAGGCUACUCA